AUACGGAGGCCAAGAGCGUUGUUCGGAUUUACUGGGCGUAAAGGGCGCGUAGGCGGUCUUGCGUGUCAAGUGUGAAAUCUCCGGGCCCAACCCGGAAAGUGCGCUUGAAACUACAGGACUCGAGUCUGGGAGAGGGAAUCGGAAUGCGGGGUGUAGCGGUGAAAUGCGUUGAUAUCCUGCAGAACACCGGAGGCGAAGGCGGAUUCCUUGAACAGCACUGACGCUGAGGCGCGAAAGUCGGGGGAGCAAACAGGAUUAGAUACCCUGGUAGUCCCGACCUUAAACGGUGCACACUCGGGGUGGGGCCAUUUCACCGGCCCCGUCCCUUAGCUAACGCGUUAAGUGUGCCGCCUGGGGAGUACGGCCGCAAGGCUAAAACUCAAAGGAAUUGACGGGG
rnacentral:rRNA from 1 species